rnacentral:rRNA from 1 species
GUCCACGCUGUAAACGAUGAGUGCUAGGUGUAGGGGUAGUCGACUCCCUCCUGUGCCGCAGUUAACGCAUUAAGCACUCCGCCUGGGGAGGUACGGCCGCAAGGUUAAACUACAAAGGAAUUGACGGGGGCCCGGCACAAGCGGUGGAGUAUGUGGUUUAAUUCGAUGAUACGCGAGAAACCUUAACCUGGUCUUGACAUGCUGGGAACCCUUAAGAGAUUAGGGGGUGCCUGCUUGCAGGAGCCCAGACACAGGUGGUGCAUGGUUGUCGU